rnacentral:rRNA from 1 species
CUGCCCUUUGUACACACCGCCCGUCGCUACUACCGAUUGAAUGGCUCAGUGAGGCUUUCGGACUGGCCCGGAAUGGGGGGCGACCCCGUCCUGGGCCGGAAAGUUAUCCGAACUCGGUCAUUUAGAGGAAGUAAAAGUCGUAACAAGGUCUCCGUUGGUGAACCAGCGGAGGGAUCAUUA